rnacentral:piRNA from 1 species
UCAUUGGUCCAAAGUAAGCAUGUCUUCCAAG